rnacentral:rRNA from 1 species
GACGAACGCUGGCGGCGUGCUUAAUACAUGCAAGUCGAACGGAAAGGCCCUGCUUUUGUGGGGUGCUCGAGUGGCGAACGGGUGAGUAACACGUGAGUACACUGCCCUUGACUGUGGGAUAACUUCAGGAAACUGGGGCAAUAACCCGAACGGAGCACCUGCUGCAUGGGGGGGGUUGGAAAGCUUCGGCGGUUGGGGAUGGACUCGCGGCUUAUCAGCUUGUGGGGGGGGUAGUGGCUCAACAGGGCUUAGACGGGUCGCCGGCCUGAGAGGGUGACCGGCCACAAUGGGCCUGAGGUACGGCCCAGACUCCUACGGGAGGCAGUGGUGGGGAGUAUGGCACAAUGGGCGGAAGCCUGAUGCAGCGGCGCUGCGUGCGUGAUGACGGCCUUCGGGGUGUAAACCGCUUGCGCCUGUGACGAAGCGUGAGUGACGGUAAUGGGUAAAUAAGCACCGGCUAACUACGUG